GAUUCAACCCCCUAGCCUAGGAACCUCCAUAUGCCACAGGUGUGGCCCUAGAAAAAGACCCAAAAAAAAAAAAAAAAAGAAUGAUCUUCUCUUCCUGGUACAGGGAGGGCCUUUUUCGCAUGAGAAAUACCAUGACCUGUUUUUAGAUAGAAAUGGGAUAUCAGACAGCCUUUCCUGCAUCUGCAGUUUCUUGGGUGCCUUCAACUCAAAAGAAUCAAAGGCCAAAAGUGGGGUAUUUUGAGGGUGGCAUCUUCGGGACCCCCUUUAUUUGUUUUUAGCCAAAUAGGGAUGUAUCCCGUGGUUCCCAGAACCACUAGGCCAGAGAAUCAGACCUGGAGGUUACAACCUGGUUACAACCAGGCUGACCCCUGGUGCUGGGCACAGAUCCUGCUGCUUCCACUGCUGACACCGAGCACAGGGCACAGGGAGCCAGGCCCUUCCCAGCAUCUCCUUAAAGCCCCUCAGCUCUCCAGUCCUCCGCUCAGGAUGAACUUGCAAGCUCUGUUUCCUGGUCUCUCUCUUCGGCAUUGGCUCUUAUUUCCAUCCCAUCAGUGAAACUCACACCACCUGUCUGCCCUCCAGCUGUGAGGAAGACCAGGAAAGGUGGGUUUCUGGCUUCUCCUUUGAGGAUAGGCAGACACAUAAGGAGAGACGGGGGUUUUCAGAAGGUUCUGGAAGACCACAAAUCAUGACAAAAGUCCAUCCCCCAGUUAUUCUCUCCACCUAGGUACCCUAGCCCUCCUCCUGAACAACGUUAUAUCACUUUACAAAAUUGGUAAAGGAGGAAUGAAAAACGCAGUGUUAAAUUCCCAACUCCCUGAUGGAGAAAUCGGGAGAGAGGCAUGAAUUUUUAGUAGAGAAAAGUCACGAUAUAAAUUCCAGAUGUUUUUCCAGGAAAAGGUGUUUUUGACAUGAACUUGCUAUUUUACUGUAAUGAAAACCAUUCCAUUUUAGAAGAGAAAGAUUCCAGUUUUCCAUGGGUGUGUGUUGGGACAGGGGGAAUAUCGAGAAUUCCCAAGAUGUUAAAAAUACAACUUUCAUGAACUAGAUGGUAAGCAUUGGUCAAAUCUAUUUCCCUAAUUAAUGAUGGACCUAAUAGGAUGGCCAAGCUGAUUCAAAAUCAGACUUGAGAACAAGGAUGCUAUGUAGCCAAUGGAAAAGAAGGAAUGCCCCCAAUGUAACUGCUAAGUCAGACGCAACUACGUCAGUAUUUCACUGGCAAUAACACCUAUAACUUUGGGCUUAUCUUUGGUACUAUCAGAAAAGACUAAUAUUGUACUUUACAAUUUUUCUAUAUGUUAACCUCUAACUCUCCAGGGCUGUAAAGUGUCUGGGCCCCAACAAAUAUUAAUAGGAAGUCAAACCGAGUCCCAUUGCCUUAGAGAGUCACAUGUCCUUUCUAUGGGCUCUCACACUGUCCUCUACCUGACAUUACGAGGUCUCACUGUCAUCUUUAUGCUUCAUUUCCAAGUUUGGGGUAUUUUUUUUUUUAACCUCUGUGAAAUUUUCCUCCUAUGCAACCAACAUGUAUUGGGCUCCAUUUCCGUGUCAAGAACUGUUACUAAGAACACAGAAAUAGAUUAGACACCAAUUUAACUCAAGGAAGCAGGAACAUGAAGUCAGUUCUAACAAAGUAUGUGAACUGAGUUGAUAAAAGUAGCGGCGAAGUGCUGUGGGAUGGAGGUGGCAGAGCAAUCCUGCCUCAAGUGUGGGAGGCAGAGGUGGAAGUAAGUUGGGCAAGUCCAACAUUUCUUGAAGACAUACUAAGUGCCAGGCACAUCCUAGGCUGCAAAAAUCCCAAGAUGGGUAACACAUGGAAAUUGGCCGGGGUGGGUUUCUGGUGCUGGCCAGAACCCCAUUCCUCUUCUGCUCCCGGAAGCUCAGUUUUCCCUUGAGGUUUGAUUCCAUGUCCCCUUGGAUGCCAUCUUGAUGGAACAGACAAGCGAGGUGCUCUCACCAGAGGGAGGACAAGAGGCUCAAACUCAGACUUCACUCCUGGGAAAUUUUAUCUUGAGAUGAGUUAACACCAGAAACAAGAAUGAUGGGUUAUCGCCCCCAAACAUAAGCCCUAAAGAAAUUCCCCAGGUGUUCCUGGUCCCUAAACCCAUAGCUGACCCUAGUCUUACCCUUCUGGAGCCUAGCCCUCCAGCCCUUCCUUUUGUUCCUAAAGUCACCCUACAUCCUUCCAUAGAUUCCUGUUCCAAGGUCAUUUUCUGUUGCUUACAACCAAAGGAUCCUGGCUGAUGGUUCUAGCUGCCCAUGGAAUGUGCCCGGGAUGAUGCUAGGUGGGUUUGCAGCAGAUACAAGCCUGGUAGCUCCCUCCCCACCCCUUUCCCAGUAUGUUCACAGUCCUUACCCUGGGGAUGGAACCACAACAGAUGAGAAGAGCUUCUAGUAAGUGAUUUGUCUAAACUCCCCAGGGGACCAGAGUCCAUCAACAUUAGCUCAAUGGAGAAAAUCCUCCCACUGUGUGCAUUUUACAAAGGAAGGAAGGACCUACCUGAAAACUAACUGUGGAGGCUGGUGGGAGUCCCAGCUUCCUCUGGGUGCUGUCAUGCCCAGGACUUUGAUUUCACUGGGAGAAGGAACAUCUUCUUCUUGUAAGACAGGCAUCAGAUUUUCUAUAAACGUGGCUUGACUAAUCCAGAACUUGAGGUAUUGGAAGCGUUAGUGUCAUCAGUGUAUGAGAGACAGAGGCCACGGGUCAGUGACUUCAAAUAUGUUUUUCCAACACCAAAGGAUUUUUAUCUUGGGGCUGGCUAUCGUGCUCACCUUUAUUUUGAGGCUGCUUCAUGGAGCACUUGCAGCAAUGAAGUGAAUCACAUUUUAACACAAGAGACCCCAUCAAGAAAACUUGCUGUUUGUCUUCCCAAUAUUUAGUCAUUCAACAGAUAUUGAAGGAGCUUCUGUUAUGAGCAGGUGCUGUUAAAAUACAGCACUGGACAAAAAUGGACAAAAAAAUCUCCAUAUCAAAAGGGCUCAAAUGCAGCAGGGGUGGUGACAGAGUUUAUGGCAACAAUUUGAUUUUCAUUUAGAAAGCGCUACCUUCCCAGACCUAGUUGAUAGGACAUGCAGUGGUUCCUGAAGCCAACUUGGUCCACUCACCCACACACAGCAAAGCCAAUCUACUGAGAGCAGGAAAGUAUAGCAUUUAUUGCAGGGCGCCAAGCAAGGAGUCUGGGACAAUUAGGGGCUCCAAACAUCCGAACUCCCAAUGGGCUUCCCCAUGACAAAGCGUCAUUAAAGACCCAGUAAAGCAGAAGGUCCCAGAGGCCAUGAUAAGCUCAGACACAAUUCUCUGACUGGUCGAUGGCGAGGUGACAGGGCAGUGUCACAGGGACUCACCUUAGCAAUCCUUAAGUUCCAUGAGGUCCAGGACACCGUGCUCCUUGUCAUCAAAUAGUUAAUGUCUUCCAUUUGGUGGGAGUUUUAGCAUCUGUAAAACAACUCAGGACAUGUGCUGUGGAUACUAUCAUCCGGGUACUUGGGGGAGGAGCUAAAGCAGAGGCUACGGGGGAGGGGCCUGUCCCAGGAAGGCCCCUUAGGGUCCUGCUUAGUCGCACAGUGUAGGCUUACCCCCAGCCUCAGGAAGUGGUACCUACUUACCAUCCACGUCAAACCUAACAGCAGUGUGUUGCCCUGGCAACAGGAAUUCAUUACUGUUGACUUAAGGGGAUCCAAUAAGAGUUCAUCUUGGGUUUUCGUGAAAGCCACAGGAAGACCAGUGACCUUAGCCCCUUGUUUGAAAACGUCAGUAAAAUGGGACCAUUUUACACCUAUCUGUUCCCCAAGAGUUAAGCCAACAUCUCUAUGUCCUGAUGACCACUGCAUUUGAUGUCUGAAUUUAGUGGGGCCUGCCUUGUCCUAAGAGACCCAUGCAGCUUACUGUCCAUCCCGGGACACAGCGAGAGUCAAAGGGGCCCUCUUAUAAUUAGGCUAGAACAACAGGCAGAGGCGAGGACCAUGCUGGCCCAGCCGGAUUUAUGCCCCACCUCCCCUCACUCAUGGCCGAUGUUUUCCAUCACAUCAGGUGAGAAACUUCCUCUUAACAAAGGCACUUCAGGAUCCUUGCAAUAGAUUUCCUAGAGCGCAGCUCUGAGGCUUAGUGAAAGGUAAGGGGGAAGGGGGCUGCUGUGAAUAAUUAAGGAGGUUAAAAAUCAUUAUUAAAAAUAAAUAAAUAAAAGUCAUCAUUUAAAAAAAUCAGCUCUAAUGGCAAAAAUAAAAAUUAUUAUUACAAAAAUAAUAAUUAAGGAGGCAAGCAGGCCCGCACAGGGAAUUCCCCCACUCAGACCACAGGGCCUUUGCUCGCCCUUGGUACUGAGCAUCCUGAGGGCUGGCCCUGCGCUGGGCACGGAGGAGUCCAGGGUGAAUAAGGCAGAGGUCCCUUCUGAGAGGAGCUCACUGUCUUAGUCACCGACGUCAAUGCCUAAACGCACAACGGCAGCAGGAGAUGCUGCGGGGAGACCAUGGGUGAACCCUGCCUGCUCCGCAGCCCCUUGGAAGUGUGAUCACGUUUACAGUGUUUGCUUUGGUUCAGUAAAACCCGGCGAUGACGGAUUGCUGAGCACAACUGACUUGACCUCCUCCCUCCCCCGACAUUUCCUGAAAAAUCCCAGCGCUUCAAGUAAAUGGCAGGCCAUCUGUGGUUUAAUAUUUGCGCUACUUUCUGUCGCACUAUGCUGAAAAUUUCAGCGCAGGAGGCUCGGAGAUGGAAAGCCCUCACCUUAGGGUCAAGAAGACGUGGGGAUGAAACAAAGGGGAGGCUCAGCCUCCGCCUCCACCCCUCCCACUGAAGGCUCUGGGGGAGGAGCCGUGUGGAGCAAUACCUACUCUUUUUUCUUUCUUUCUUUCUUUUUCUUCUUGGCCACACUAGUGGCCUGAGCAAGUUCCUGGGAAGGGAUGGAAGCCAUGCCCCCGAAGUGACAACACCAGAUCCUUAACCCACCAUGCCACCAGGGAACUCCCAGUACCCACCUUUUUUUUUUUUUUUUUAGUCUUUUUAGGGCUGCACCUGGGGCCUAUGGAGGUUCCCAGGCUAGGGAUGAAAUCAGAGCUAUAGCUGCUGGCCACAGCCAUAGCCACAGCAAUGUGGGAUCCAAGCCUCAUCUGUGACCUACACCACAACUCCUGACAAUGCUGCAUUUUUAACCCACUGGUCUGGGCAAUAGUCUUUUGUCUUCCGUAUUUGGAAAAGUCCAGACCGUGGCACUGAACAGCCACACAUGCUGUGGUCAGCACACCAAGCUGGCAUCUUUUCCAUAACAAGCCAGGAGGGAGAGCAGAGAGACGAUUUCUCUUGUCUUCCUGAGCCGUACAAGCCAUGUGUCAAGUUAACGAGUGGAUUUGAUGAAGUGUAAGACAGCUCGUCAUCCAACAGUUAAGUGGCCUUGUUUCCUUUCCCUGGGAUAAUAUUGGAUUUCAUACUGAUAACAUCAACAAGAGAAAGGCGCGUAGCUAACAGCUAAUUUCUGAAGAACAUAUGUUUCUGCUCAAUUUUUGCACCUUUAUUGCUCCAUGUGACACUGCAGCACUUUCUGCUGCAUAACAGCCUGAGUCCCCUCAUCUGUCUUCCAUCUAAUUCAAGUCAAAACCAGUAAAGCGAGCCAAUUCCUGGCCUAUUUGUAAUUCUUCCACAAAUGAUUGUCGCUCAUCCCCCGGUGCUAAAAUUUUUUCAGGAGACAACAGCCACCAAAAAAAAAAAAAAAAAA
ensembl:lncRNA